UACAUAGGGGGCGAGCGUUAUCCGGAAUUAUUGGGCGUAAAGCGUGCGUAGGCGGUUUAUUAAGUCUGAUGUGAAAUGUCACAGCUUAACUGUGAAGGGUCAUUGGAAACUGGUAAACUUGAGUACAGUAGGGGUAAGUGGAAUUCCAAGUGGAGCGGUGGAAUGCGUAGAGAUUUGGAGGAACACCAGUGGCGAAGGCGGCUUACUGGGCUGGAACUGACGCUGAGGCACGAGAGCGUGGGGAGCAAAC
rnacentral:rRNA from 1 species